GCACCAACACCUGGUGUCCUUUUGCUGAACUCUGUCAGCUCUCUAUUUUCAGUUGCUUUCCGGAGGAGUCUGUGUUCUUUGCCAAGGAAGUUCUCUAGGUGUAAAAGCUUUGCUAGUGUUCAUACCCAGCACUUCCAAAGUGUUGACAGAGUGAAACAUAAAGCAUGUAUAGAAGACAGAUGUGGCAAUUUCUGAAAUGUUAAGCUGUUUGGUGUCCAGUGUGCAUUUCUGCACCCUUCCAUUCAGUGAUCCAUUGGAUCAUUUGCACUUCCUGUGGGCCCCAUAAUCCCUGGGACAAAGAACCUCCUGCUACAGCUUCAACAGGAGCAUUACGGGGGCAGAGUGGUCACACUGCCCACAUGCUUCUUUCUCUGCACCUGCACUGAGCAACCAUGGUGACAACAGGCCUUUCGUUCCUCCAAAAUGUCACUGUCUAAAAUAAGAGAACUCCUACACUGCCUUAAACGUUUUGAUUUCUUUAGCUGAAGCACUGGCAUUGUCAAUGAAUAAUUUGACUAGUUAAAUUUAUGUCAAGUCAUAUGAUUUGACUGUUGGUAAUUGAAUGGGAUGAGAGGAAAUAUUGUAAAAUAGCAUAACCUAGCUCUUGCAAAGACUAUUAUACAGUACAAUGAAAGGAGCUGAAUAAAGAUACAGGCAGGGAAAUAUUACUAAAGAUUAUGAAACAACUUAAAACGGUCAAAUCUGACAGCUAUAUGUUAUGAGCCGUAAGCUCAGAAACAGGAUUGUAAGUAGCUGUUCCCAAAUGUAAGGAAAUUACAAAAUUACUGUAGUUCUAGCUGCUAUUAAAGGACUUGGGAAAACACUGCAAUCCCAUGAAUUCAGGUUCUGUAUGCUGACUGCAGAUAAGAGUUAUUAUCACCUGGCAUUUCAUGUAGGUUAACCCUUAAGCACUCCUGACACACAGUCCCACUUGUAGAUUGCUAUCAUGAUGUCCUUCAAGUGCUUCAGAGCUACUCAGGAAUAGACAGCACACAGCAAAACACUGAUAACUCUAUUGCUGUAAGGUUCAAUGUGACAUUUUUAAUAUAUUCUGAGCUUACAUUCCUGAAAGAAGCUUUUAAGCUUUGAAACAAAGGAAGAACUUUUUGCAAAAUAUUUCUUUUUAAGAGCCUGCACACUUCUGGCAUAAUAGAAAGGAGUUGGCAAAAGAAAGUCUGACAUACCAAGUGCAAAGAGAUCUUGAUCUUGUUCAGACUAAUUCUUAUUAGCAGUAAUCAGCGCGUACUUUUAAACAUACACAAGUGAAUAUACUUGAAUACAUGGAUGUUAAAAGCAUGCAUGUGUUUUCUCUCAAAAGUUGAAGAGGUGCAUAUAGCACUCAGAAAAGUGGUACUUUGAAAACAAAAAGCUUAACCAGUAAUGCUCAGAAUCACCUUGAGGCUUGUU